rnacentral:lncRNA from 1 species
AUGGUCCAGUGUCAUGGUUGGAUUCUCAGGGACGUGUCUUACCCUAGCAGGAGGGGCUCCAGCGUCUUAUUUUCAUCUGAGAUAACACAGAUUAAUCACUUUUCUCUUCAUUUUUCACUCCUCAUUAGCCUCAGAAGCAAAAGACUUGGAGUCUCCUGUCGUAGUGCUGAGGGCUGGAAGGAACACACAUGGGUUGCCCAAAUUCCAUCAGCCACAUCCUUACCUCAGCAGAUGAUAAAGUUCUGCAGCCCCACCCCCAGCUCCAGCAGAUGAUCUCUGACUCUGAGUUGAACAUUUAGGCUAUGACUGUAUAUACAAGCUUCAUGUCUUCACUCAUACGCGGCCUAUAGAAGAUUCCCUCCAGGAUAAAGUAUCUUCUGUGACUUUAAAGAUGAAAGACUCCUACCAGAGGGAUGAAGUUUGCCUCAAGCUUUCAAAAUGUGAUAUCCAAGUUCAUUACUUGUGCUCCAUUCCAUUCAACUGGAGUCAAAUCCAUGGAGCAGAAUCACCACCCGAGACCUCAUCUGCCAUUUAGAAAAUGACUUCCCAAACCACAGAGGUCUAAUUUGUAGCACACCUCUCCAUACAUGGGUUUAUUUUUCUCCCCGCAGAGUCCAAACUGGUGAUAACCAGGGCAAUAUCUUGUAUAUCUCGUCCAACACUGAUAUUUCUGCUGUCAGAAACACUGCCUCUCCCCACGAAGAAAGUACCCAAUCAUUUCUUUUUCCCUUAACCUCUCACAUAAGGCCUGAAAACUACAGCCCUGGGUUCCCCAGAAGCUACCAGAUUGUGCAAUGUACUAUCACAGAAUGUCAUACUCGAGCCCUGCUAUAGUCACAUCCAAUAAGUAAUCUGGCAUAAAGAAAAGUUAACUGAAUUAGUGGCCAAUUGGGACACCUUGUGACCUACUCUUUAGGAACCAAGUCCUCUGAACUUCUCCAUUCUGCUUUGCCUUCAUACUUUAAUAGGGACUGAAUCCCCAUUAACAAUUGAGCGGCGACAAUAAGUGCCAUCAGGAAAAGGAAAUUCAAUUUUCGUGGGGGAUGACAGCCUUACCUUUUCGCGCUUAAUUGGCCGUAUUGUCUCCAAAAGUUAAUUGGUUACUUAGUCCAGGUAGUUAGUAAAAUGUUUAGCUGCGUCAAAAAGCUCAGGCUCCCAUUGUUAAUGGGGCAUGAAAUGGAAUGUUUGAUACUGCAAAUAAAAUCAGUGAUAUUCAAGGAUGUUAUGGUAGG